rnacentral:piRNA from 1 species
UGCGAGACUUCCACAGUUCUCCUUGUGGCCA